AUACGGAGGAUCCGAGCGUUAUCCGGAUUUAUUGGGUUUAAAGGGUGCGCAGGCGGCCAUUUAAGUCAGCGGUUAAAUCGUGGGGCUCAACCCCAUUCUGCCGUUGAUACUGGGUGGCUUGAUUGCGGUCGAGGUUGGCGGAAUUCGUUGUGUAGCGGUGAAAUGCAUAGAUAUGACGAAGAACACCGAUUGCGUAGGCAGCUGACCAGACCGCAAAUGACGCUCAUGCACGAAAGUGCGGGGAUCGAACAGGAUUAGAUACCCUGGUAGUCCGCACAGCAAACGAUGAAUACUUGUUUUCGGCGAUAUAAUGUCGGAGGCAAAGCGAAAGCGAUAAGUAUUCCACCUGGGGAGUACGCCGGCAACGGUGAAACUCAAAGGAAUUGACGGGA
rnacentral:rRNA from 1 species